GUUACUUGCAUUUUAUGCAGACUCUUACUUGUGCCAGUUAGCUACAAAUUUGGGAUUAUAGUCAGUCCACUGCUCCUCCAGAUAAAUCUGAGGCAAAAUCUACUGCAUUAGCUCUAAUAGAGUCCUUUGCAAGCUUGACCUAACCUGGUCAGGAUCUGUUCUGAUUGAAUUGUAAAGCCUGUUAUGUCUCUUGCUGUACAUUUCUCUUGCUGCUAAAGUCUUCAUGUUUAGUCGGAUAUACUAAUUCUUCCAAGAUCCUGGCCAUCUCAGCCCUACCAUCGGUCUACCCUUUGAGGUGUUUGGGAUUUAACAAAAAUGAACUACUUCUCUUGCCCAUGGAUUACCGGCAUGACAAUAAGGCUCAUUAUUUUCAGAAGCUUGUAACUAUGCAGGAGAAUUUAUAUGUACUUCUGUGUGAUGAAGAAUUGGAUGCAGUCUCUUUGGAAGCUGUGCACCAACAAAAGAUGAAGAAUAGACAAGCCCACUCUUCAUCAGGAACUUUGAAGAUUUGAUCAAGGAUCUUAAGGUGUAAUGAUUAUCCUGGAUCAUGCAAGUGAAUCUAAUGUAAUCACAAGGGUCCCAAUAAAUGAAACAAGAAGGCAAGAAAGUCGGGAAUGAAGAUGUCAAGACUGAAGCAGAGUUCAGAGUAAUUUGGUGUAAGAAAGAGUCACCUGGCUGUUGCUGUCUUUGAAGAUGGAAGAGGAUCACAAGCUAAGAAAUGUAGACAGCCUCUGAAAGGUAGAGAAGGCGAGGAGGCAGAUUCUUCUCUACAGUCUCCAAGGAAGUACAAUCGUUCUGAUGCCUUGAUUUUAGCCCAGUGAUAUCCAUUUUAGAAUUCUGAUUUCCACAAUUUUAAG
rnacentral:lncRNA from 1 species